GUGGUCUGAGAUCUGGUGGUCUGGGAAAGUUCCCGAGAGACAGACUUGAGCUGAUUUUCUUCCUUUAGGACUGACAGAUAUUGGAGUUUUCUUAGACUUGCUGUUGGAAGGGAGCUAUGAGGCCAUGUUCUUACAUUCAGUGACACGAAAUAUAUUCAGCUCCACAAUGAUGGCUGAAGAUUGACAGCUACUUGGAGAAGCAGAUAGUAAAUUUCCUGGAUUGCUACGGAUUUGGAGGAAAUUGAAAGAUAGAAUUUUAUUUGAAAUUUCCACAGAGAAACACACUUGUGCAGAGGGCUGGAGAGAUGGUUCAGUGAGCACUUACUGCUUUUUCAGAGGACUCAGGUUCAAUUCCCAGCACCCGCAUGGUGGCUCACAACUGUGCAACUCCAAUUCCAGGGGAUCCAACAUCCUCUUCUGACACCCAUGGGUACCAGGCACAUAUGUAGCGCGCAUAUGUACACCCAGGCAAACCACUCAUAUACAUCAAAUGAAUAAAUAAAUUUUGGAUACUUUUAUGGCAGCUUGGCAACAUACAGGCCUUGCUAUUUAGCAGUUGUCGAUAAACCUGAGCUCACGAUGUGUCAAGUAAUCUCCGUGAGGUCUCUGGUCCUGAUCUUCCAGAAUGAGUAAUGGAAGUGGUGUGUGAUCAAAAUGAGUUUUGUAUAUGAGAAUGACACAUGCUUGGUAGUCACUGCUAAUCUCCCCAGAGCUUAGGUUUGGUAAGUGCUAGCUAUCAGCUUGUGUCCUUUUGCUUCUUCUUGUUCCUCAUUUUGUUUUGUUUUGGGGCAGAGUCUCACUAUGUAGCCUUGUCCUGGAACUCACUAUGGAGACCAGGCUGGCCUCAGACUCAGAGAUCCACCUGCUUCUCUGCCUUUCAAGGGCUGGGAUAAAAGGCACGUGCUUUAAAGGGGGCAGCUCAUUUUUUUUAACGUGUAAAUGUACCUUGAAUCCUGCUAUUUCUGGGUUACUGAAAGAUGCUUACAUUUCCAUUUGCUGUGUCUCAGAUUGUUAUCUCUGAAGCCAUCAGAGAACUCCAUGUGUUUAUCAUGGAACCCUCAGUUUAUCUUUCUUCAGUUAGGAUGCCUGCAUACUGAUUAAAUAUAAGCCUUCUAGAGGCUUCUGUUUUAUUGUCAUAUGUUGUUAACUUACUUCUUCUCAUCCACCGGUGACGUCUGUCUAGAAUUGUUAACCAUCUCCAAAAUGCCUAUAAUAUCAUUCUACCCUGAUGUUUACAGAACAGUUUCAGACAGUCGUCCGAACAAUAAGCCAGCUAAUUUGUUAGGUUGUAAAGAUAAAUAAGAUGUAACACAGAUUCAUAAAUAGUUCAUAAUUCUGUUUCAUUUUUUUCUAAUUUCCAAUAGUGUCAUUCUUGAUUUUGUUGUUGUUGUGUUGUGUUGUGUGUUAUACAUUUGGCCAGGGGUUUGCAAUAAACUCCAGGCUGGCCUCAAACACAUAAUCCUUUUGCCUUAGCUCCCCAAAUUUGGGGAUUACAGGGAUACACCACCAUGCCCAUCUCCAGCUCAUUUUUGAUUCUGUUUUUUUUUUUUUGUUUUUUUCCUCUUUUGCCACUGGGGAUUGAACUUCAGACUUCUCACAUUCUACCAUUAAGCUGUAUCCCUAACCCUUUUCUCUACUUUUCAUUGUGAAGCAGGGUCUUACUAAGCUGGCCAGGGCGGCUUUGAGUGUGUGAUCCUCUUGCCUCAGCCUCCUGAGUCGCUGGGACUGCAGGCUUCAGCGCACGGUCUGGCUUUGUGUCUGACUCUCCUUUGCUGGCUGAUGUGUUUCUACUGUAGUAAAGUUCGCCUCGUGGUGUCCA